rnacentral:lncRNA from 1 species
CCAUGAUGAUCAGUGGAAGAGGAUGUUCCUGAGGGCUCAAAACAUGGACGUGAAAUGAACUUGGAAAGAUGCAUUUUGUCAAGCAGCACAAAAAAUUUAAGUGCUCAGAUCAGAAGAAGCUGAGAGGUUCUGGCUAAACUUUUACUUUUCUUCGGUCUUGAUGCAAGAAAGUGCUCAGAUCAGAAGAAGCUGAGAACUUUUGGCUAAACUUUUACUUUUCUUCGGUCUUGAUGCAAGAGGGCGAGGUUAAUGAUUUUCUUCCAGCAGUCCCACCUUUGUAUAUAAUGAUUAAUUAAUUUCCAAGCAGUUUCAUAGCUUGUUCAAUGAGUCACGAUUUCACACACAAACUUUGAAAAAUUCAAAGAUAAUUAUUACACUGUUUCUGGUCUUUAAUUUUUAUACUUAGAUUUACUUCUUGAUCCAUCAAAAAUUUGAAGAACAUAAUAUAGGAGUCCUUGAGAUGGAGGAAAUUGUCUAUAUAUAUAUAUAUAUAUAUAUAUAUAUAUAUAUAUAUAUAUGACCAUAUUUAGGUCUUGUUCAAUUGAAAGCAAAUGCAAAAUAAAAAAUAUAUUUUUCUUAAUUUUUUUGAGAGAAUGGAAAUCAAUAAUAUACAGUGUUAUAUAAUUACUAAAUGCCUUAUUUGCUAACUAGUUUAGAUAAUUAAUAAUCGAUUUGUUAAUAUUGACCUUUUCUUGAGAUGUGACCGGUGCAAAUUAGGGUUCGUGUACAUCUGUUGAGAAAUCUUCAAGACUCCUAUUAAUAAUUAAAAUGGUGUUUGAAAGUGUGAUUACGGACUUUAAAGUUAUAUUUUAAAAUGUUUUUAGCUCGAAAAUAUAUGAAAACAAUAUUUUUUAAAAAAUAAUUUUUGAUAUCAGUACAUUAAAAUGAUUUAAAAAUAUUAAUUUAAAAUUAAAAAAAUAAAAUAAAUUUAAUUUUUUUCAAAACCACUUUUAAAACAUAAAAAUAAAAAUAUCAUAUAUACCUAGUUAUGCACACACAGACAUGUCUAUUUCUCUUCAAAUUCACUGUGUUUGGUAUUGUGGUAACUGUUGUGGUUGUGGUUUGAAAAAAGUUGUUUUAUAAAAAGUAUUUUUAGUUGAGGUUGGUUUUAAAAAAUAGGUGUUUGGUUAAAACUGUGGUUGAAAUUGAGGUGGAAGAAAAAGUAGUUUAAUGUGUUUGGUUAAGAAUGCUUUUGAAAUUGAGGUUAUAAAAUAGUAUUAAAAAAUAUAUAUUAAUAUUGAUGGUUUUAAAUUUAAAUAUUGUAGAAUUAAUUAAUCUUAUUACAUCAUGAAAUAAAAAAUACUUUAUAUAAAAUAUUUUUUAUUAUUCCAUUAAACUAUUUAUAAUUCCAUUACGUAUAAAAUUCAUCCGAUAAGAACUACAGUUUUCAUAAUUUUUUAAGCGUAGAUAAAAUAUUAUCUGGUAUAAAAUUGAUAUUAUAAUGCGAGUGAAUUUAAUUCACUCUAUACUAGUUUUUCGGGAAAAAAAAUAUUGUUCACAUCACAGUGCGAGUGAAUUUAAUUCACUUUAAACUAGUGUUUUUUUUAAAAAAAAAUGUUAAAAAAUUUAACACACUGAAAGAAAAAAAACCGUGAACAGUGCAAGUGAAUUGCACUGUUCAUUGGUGAACAAUGUAAUUUUCUUGCACUGUUCAUGCUAAUUGCACUGUUCAGUGAACAGUGCAAUUAGCAUGCAUAGUGAUUAAAAACAUGAAUUCGCUGCAUUCCGAAUGUAAAAAACGUGUGAGACCAAUGAAUAGUAACUUGCUUUUUUUUCAUUACUAAAUAGAUAUAAACUGUAUUUUAAUUAAGACGCAGUCGCGUAGCCAAACGGGUUAUUAGUUCACCAGGCUAGCUCAUAGGCUUGUACAAGGCAACUAAUCAUUGAAGAUUUUAAGGUACGUGGUUACUAGGAAGAAGCUUUCACCAAUGCUCGUACAGGNNNNNNNNNNNNNNNNNNNNNNNNNNNNNNNNNNNNNNNNNNNNNNNNNNNNNNNNNNNNNNNNNNNNNNNNNNNNNNNNNNNNNNNNNNNNNNNNNNNNNNNNNNNNNNNNNNNNNNNNNNNNNNNNNNNNNNNNNNNNNNNNNNNNNNNNNNNNNNNNNNNNNNNNNNNCUAAAAUGUUAUUGUACAAGUUUCCCUGACUUAUUAAUUAAAACUUUUUUUAACUAAAUAUUUCUAUCCAUAUCCGUUAAAUGGUUUUAAUCACAACCAAAAUUCAAAGAUACUGUAUCUCACGUGCAAUAUUAAUGCAGAAGGAAAUAUAUAUAUAACCUGAUAUAUUGGACUAUAUGAGAUUGAAAAAUGCAUUUUAUUUACUUAGUCAACGUUGAUCAUAACCCAGGAAUUUGAGAAUUUAGAUACGACCACGAGUAUAAGAAUUAAAGGAGCCAUUUUGGUCAACAAUAUAGUAAAUAAUAUAGUGGUAAAAGUUUGGGAUUAAAAUGUUUGCUUCUUCUGUAAUCUCAGGUUGGAGCCCUGUGGUUGCUAAUAUAAUGGUCACUAGAGGCUUACAUGGUCGUUAACUUCAGGGCCCGUGGGAUUAGUCGAGGUACGCGCAAGCUGACCCGGAUACCCACGUUAAUUAAAAAAAAAAGAGACACAUUUUGGUCUUGUUCAAUUGACGUCCAAAAUUUGGAAAUAAAAUCUCAUGUUCAAUAAUUAUAUGACUUUUUCUUAAUUGAAAAAUUAGAAAUACGUUUUUAAUAUAUAGUCUUAUCGAUGGCUUCCACAAGGUUAGUGCACAGAAGCUGUCAAUAGAACCUAUUCACGUCUCCACUCCAUAAGAAUUAAUCUUCUUUACAAGGAAACAAUCUUCUUAACUACACUAGAUGAGAUUUUAAACAAAGAUAUAAACUAAUAAAAAGAAAGAUUGGGCGACUCCAAGUCUUGAGAUGAGACUUGAUCUUUUCCAAAACUGGUUUUCACGUAGUUUUGGAUUUGCUCCUAGCUAGAGAAAGCACCAAGUAAUUAACAGGUAAACAUAUUGAUUUAAUCUCAAAAAUAUUAAUUACUCUUUUAGUAAAUUUCAAAUCAACAUUAAUACCAAUUAAAAGACUCUUAUUAAAAUUAACUUUCAAGCCUCGAAACCAAUUAAGAAUGAUUUUAAUAUUCUUAAGAGUUUUCAUUUCAUUAAGAUAAAAUACCACUAUAUCAUCAACAUAUUAAAGUAAAUUCAUUGUUUGAGAAGAUACAUUAACUCCUGAAUAAUGCUCAUUCUCCUUUUCUCUGCUAAAAAGAAUUGUUAACCAUUCUACAACUAUAUUAAUAGAAAGGGAGACAAGGGAUUCUCUUGUCGAAUACCAUUCUCCAUGUGAAACUCAUUAGAUCGAUGGCAAGCCAUUGAUAAAUAUAUAAAGAUGAGCCAUUGAUAUACAUUCGUGAAUCCACGAGAUCCAUAUAUCUCUAAAGCCUAUAUAAAACCUAUAAUCCUCAAAAACAUGAUCUUAUAGAUUCCAUUCAUGAGAUUAAUAGGCUUGAAUUCUGCGAACUUAUUAUCCCCUUUGAUCUUCGAGAGUAAUAUAAUAUAAGCAUUAUUAAUCCCCUUCAUAAUUCUCCUAUUCUUGAGAAACUUAGAAAUUAGUAAAAAUCACCUCUCCAAUAAAUGACCAUUCUUUAUAUAUAUAUAUAUAUAUAUAUAUAUAUAUAUAUAUAUAUAUAUAGAAGUUAAAAUUAAAAUCAUCAGGUCCUGGAGCUUUAAACCCUUCGCAUCUCCACGUUGCAUCAUUGACUUCCUCCAAUGUGACCUCUCUCUCUCCAACCAAACCGAAGGGUCAAUAAUUAAAGACUUUGAGCCUCUACUUCCAAUAUAUGGCCUAGGAACAAUACCAAUACUAAACAGAUUUUGCAGCCUGAAAUUUGAUCUAUAAAGGACUGGCUAGUAAUAACAUUCCCAUCAAUAAUAAUUGAUUCAAUAAGGUUCUUCUUAUUAGAAAAAAAAAUCGAGAGAUGAAAGAAUCUGGUAUUCCUUUCACCUAACUUGCACCGGUUGUUCCUUGCCUUUAGCCUUUAAAAAGAUUCAUAGUUUAAACACCUCAACUCAUUAGAUUCAACAUCUAUUAAAAUUCCACCCCCACUCAUAUUAUUAAUUGCUUUAAGAUUGGAUUUUGCCAUUUUAAUUUUAUUCUCCAAAUACCCAUAAAUACUAGAGUUUCAUUCAAUUAAUUUCCAUCUCGCUUCUUAAUAAGAUAGAAUAUGUGUGGCAUGUUAGAGCAAAGAGAUGCCCACAUCUGUUUUAAGUUAGAAUGAAAUGAAUUGUGCAUCAACCAACAAUCAAAAAAUUAAAAAGGUUUCCUACCUAAUCUUUAAGUUCUUUAACAUAAGCAAUUGGACAAGGAUCUGAAAGACUUCUUUCUAACUUGAGGAGUUUAUUUCGAGGAAAAGCCAAUGUAACACCUAGGUGUGCAAAACAACUAUUAAUACGAACGACUCAUAUAAUAAACUUCUAAACCUAGUAUAGUGAUGAACUUGCAAAGGAAGCUCAAUAAAGUUGUCACACCUCGGUGGACAUCGACCAAGACUAAAAUAUAUUUCAUGAAAUUAGAUUUAUUGGGUCAAUAUAGAUCAAACCGUGUCGACUAGGAUAAAAAAAAAGAGUUUCAGAGCGUUUCGUGUCGAAACCAUCAUUUUCAGUCAAAACUGGGCCUAUCAGGUCAAACCAGGUCGACGGGGGUAAAAAAUGAAUUUCAGGCGGUUUUUUGGUCAUUUUUUUUUUAUCAAAACCAGGUCCGCCAAGUUGAUAUUAGUUGAAAAAUAUUUUGGUGUUUGAAAUUUAUUUUUUGGUAUUCAAAAUUAAUUUUUAGCAAUUGAAAUAAGUUUUUUUUAAUAUUAAUUUGAGUUUUUAGUUUUAAUCAUUUGUGUAUAUAUAAUAAAAUAAAAAAUAAUAAUUCAAAAGUUUUUUCCUCUUAUUCUAGCAUGCCACGUCACCUGGUAUACAAAUCAUCCAUUACCGCACUGACGUAAAAACCAAUCAAUCACGGCCAUUAGAUCAUGUUUCGGAUGAAACCAAUCACAGCCGCAAAAUUCAGAGCCUCUCUCUCCCCUAUCGCUGUCAUUUUCUCUUUCUUUGCAUCUCCCAACUCAUGUCUGCCGAUUUCACUUAUUUUAGGACAUUAAAAUAAUAUAAAAAUAUUAAAAAAAAUUUAAUUAAAAAUUAAAAAAUCUUUGAAAUUUUUUCAAAAAUAUUUUUCAACCACAUUGUCAAAGAUUACUUUAUUUCUUUCGUGUACAAGACCGAGAACGCAAAUUAAUACGAAGAAGUCAAUUAACAAAGACAUACUUUGAUCCCAUGCAGUUCCUCUUAUUUUCUUUAUCCGAUUCCUGUCGAGGUUGUAGAAAAAUACUUUUAGAAAUUAUGAUCCUGUAGAAAUCAAGUAUUGUCUUUCAAAAAAGAAAAAAAAGGGGAAGAAAUCAAGUAUGAUCCUCUUAUAUAGCUUUUCCCCUUCUCUGACCUCAAAUUUCUGCUUGAAAAUAUUAAUCUGCUUCCAACCUUCUUUAAUUUUCCUUGCUUCAAAUUUCAUUGCGUCUUAGAGACCAACCAACCACACUGCAACAUAUGAUUAAUCGUACGUAUAUUUCUUGGAAGAACAAGCUCAUGAUCAUUGAUAUGUAAUAAAAAUUAGAUUGUGUGCAUAGAUAUAAUUUUUUUUGAAAAAAAUAAUCAAAACAUCAUUUUACAAUAUUAUUUCAACAAAAAAAAUCAACAAGUUCAUAUUUAUACUUUAAUUGUAUCAGCAUAUUAAUCCAAUUAGUAAAUCAUUUUGAUGUACUGACAUAAAAAAUAAAUUUUAAAAAAUAUAAAUAUAUUAUUUUGAUAUAUUUUUGAAAGAAAAAUACUUUAAAAAAUAACUUUACACUCGUUCUCGCAUAGACUUUUUACGGUGUUGUUGUUUGUUUAUGGUGUUGUUGUUUGUUUUGGAAAAAAGAUUGGCUAAGUAAGGAUAGUUUUUGGAAACCCUUUUGAGGGAAUAGUGAUGCUAGAAUUUAGUGAAAUUAUAAAGGGAGAAUUAAUGAAAUUUGAAAUUUUAUAAAAUUUCAAGCAAUCUCCUCAUACAAAAUAAGGAUUUGUCCCUGCUCGAAUACAUAUAUAACAGUACUGCUAAUAUAGUCUUGUGCUUUAAGAAAAAUUUUAUCCAUAGAAAAUAAUGUUCGGCGAUACCAAAAAACGAUGAAUAAGCGAGCAAUCAAUAAGGAAGAAAUAUUAAUUGGAAAAGUUUUAUAAUAAGCACUCCUAGUUUCUAAUGACCACUCUGCCUCAUGUUCAGAGAUUUACCUUAUAUUAUUAUAUAAGGAAAAAUUUAUUUUUCUAUAUAUAAUAAAAAUUUCCUUAUAUAUAUUAAUAAUAAAAUUUUGGUUUUUUUUUAAUGUAUUUUUUUUUAAUAGGAUAAAAAAGCAUGUUAUCUUUAUACAUUUUAUUUUGAAAGUGAAAAAAUUAACUAUAAAAAUGAUUUAAAAACAUAUUUAAUGUUAUGUUUUUUUUUUAUCUCUGUAAUAAAAACGAGUUUCUAUUUAAAAAACAAAGUAAUUUUUAAAAAACUACUUUUUAUCGAAUAAACACCCCUAAUUAAAUGUACACCUAAUUAAAUGUACAUAGAAUUAAGACAUUUUGGUCCUGUUCAGUUGACCUAUAAGGAUGGAAAACAAAAUACAAUGUUUAAUGACUUUUCGUUUCCCUACUUGGAAAGUUCAACACGCUUUUUCGUGGAAUUUUUCUACAAUUUUAUAGGCUGCUAUGCCCUGUUGUAAGCUCUAUUAAUGAUCGACAACAUGUUGUCAACCAAUCUUUCCCUUUGAAAAUGACAAAGAAUCCUUUAUCUUGCAAUAUUUAGUGUUUACAACACUGUCACGUAUGAAGCUCAGUGCCUUCACCUCUGUGUAGUUUGGGACUACGCAUAUGCAGAAGUGGGCAAGCGUAGGAAAGGGUUUCAGAUAUUGUGAGAAUUAAUGAAGGUGAUUAGCAGCUCUACUUCCACUCUCUGAUCGAAGAUGCUAUUGGGUAUUUUGACGCUUUUUUGCUGUAAAUAUAGCCGCAUUGUUUCGAUGAAAGCAAAAAAAAUCAAGGACAAACUGUGUCAUUUUCAAAGGAAAUGCCGUGCCAAAUUGCCAACAGAGCUUUCCCUUUUCCAGUCUAAAACCUGCAGUUGUUCAUACUUGGAAAAACACACGCAUGAUUUCAAGUUUCUCUUUCCCUGUUUUCCAGUAGGAAUUAAACAUGCUUUUAUUUUUUGGGUACUCCAUUUAAAUUUCUAAAGUAUUCCUAAUCGAGGGUGAAACUAUGAAUGUUGGUUAAAGAGGAUAAAAAUAAAAACAUUAUUUAACUCGCCAUCGAUCAUCAACUCAUUCCUACCAGAUGUAAAUUUCUAAAGGGGCAAAAGAAGGAGCCUCCUCUCUUAUGAGAUUCCAACAAGAUCAAUCAUAAAUGUUAGCUAAUAAAUCUAUGUUAGGUAAAGUCUAGCUUUCUUGAAACACAGUUUCUUCAAGAAAGUAUCUCAUAGUAAAACAUAACACGGUAGUACAGCAUGCCUGCUUACUAUUUUCUUCUGGUAAACACACGAUGCAAGCUUUGGCAAAAGCCAUGAUCGAUUAUCCCUGUAAAAUUAUUCUUAAUUUCUGCUAUCCCCUUUCAAUCUUCCUUAGAAAAGGCAAAAGGGCUCGAAAUCCCUUAAUAAUAGCUCAUUUUUUACAUUUCUUUAAUCAUACAUUGAAAGAGAACUACACACAGUCAGAGCAUAAGAANNNNNNNNNNNNNNNNNNNNNNNNNNNNNNNNNNNNNNNNNNNNNNNNNNNNNNNNNNNNNNNNNNNNNNNNNNNNNNNNNNNNNNNNNNNNNNNNNNNNNNNNNNNNNNNNNNNNNNNNNNNNNNNNNNNNUGUCGUAACGCAAAAAUUCAGUAAUUAUGAUCCUGUAGAAAUCAUUUUAUUUUUUUAUUAAAAAAAAUGAAGAAAUUGAAGAGUGAUCACAAACCCUGUUUAUCCUCCAAUAUUUUAGUGUGUAAGUGAUUUAAUACUUUCAGUAAUUAUGAUCCUGUAGAAAUCAUUUUAUUUUUUUAUUAAAAAAAAUGAAGAAAUUGAAGAGUGAUCACAAACCCUGUUUAUCCUCCAAUAUUUUAGUGUGUAAGUGAUUUAAUACUUUCAGUAAUUAUGAUCCUGUAGAAAUCAUUUUAUUUUUUUAUUAAAAAAAAUGAAGAAAUUGAAGAGUGAUCACAAACCCUGUUUAUCCUCCAAUAUUUUAGUGUGUAAGUGAUUUAAUUAAUUCUUUUUAAAACCGCAGCUUAUUGAGACAAGGAAAAUAUAAUAAAGAGGAGGUAUUUAUUCACCUUUCGAUCUGUUUCUUCGAACAGCCCAUCUGGAGAAUUGAAGGUAACUGAUUUCUGACUACAGAAUGCAACCCUUUCAGUGGAAAUAAAGAGAAGUCCGGCAACAGGACCAGCUUCAGUUGAUAAACAGCAAUGCGAUGCCUUUAAUAGCCUUUCCCCGUCUCUGACCUCAAAUUUCUGCUUGAAAAUACUCUUCUUCCCACCUUCUUUAAUUUUCUUUGCCUCAAAUUUUAUUGAGUCUGAGAGACCAACCGACCUCACUGCAAUCAACAUAUGAUUAAUCAUAUUUUUCUCUGAAGAAGAAGCUCAUGAUCAUUGAUUUAUUCACUCAUAACGAAAGAAAAGAGGAGAAAAGAGUGCGGCUUAUGAUAAUUAGAAGGAACGAUUGUUAAUUACCUCGGUCACGAAUUAUAUUUGCAAGGGUCCUGCUUCCCCCAGUUGUAUCCACUUCAUCACCUGCACCAGCACGUCAAGGAAUUAAAGCUGUCAACAUAGAAAUAAUUUAGACUUAGAAAUACUAAUUUAUGAUCUGUGAAGAAGUUGGAGAAGAACCAUGAUGAUCAGUGGAAGAGGUUGUUCCUGAGGGCUCAAAACAUGGACGUGAAAUGAACUUGGAAAGAUGCAUUUUGUCAAGCAGCACAAAAAAUUUAAGUGCUCAGAUCAGAAGAAGCUGAGAGGUUCUGGCUAAACUUUUACUUUUCUUCGGUCUUGAUGCAAGAAAGUGCUCAGAUCAGAAGAAGCUGAGACGUUUUGGCUAAACUUUUACUUUUCUUCGGUCUUGAUGCAAGAGGGCGAGGUUAACGAUUUUCUUCCAGCAGUCCCACCUUUGUAUAUAAUGAUUUUCUUCCAGCAGUCCACCUUUGUAUAUAAUGAUUAAUUAAUUUCCAAAUAGUUUCAUUGCUUGUUCAAUGAGUCACGAUUUCACACACAAACUUUGAAAAAUUCAAAGGUAAUCAUUGCACUGUUUCUGGUCGAACAAUACUAAUAAAGAAGCAUUUAGUUUUCUUUAAUUUUUAUACUUAGAUUUACUUCUUGAUCCAUCAAAAAUUUGAAGAACAUAAUAUAGGAGUCCUUGAGAUGGAGGAAAUUGUCUAUAUAACAAAUUAUAGAAUAUAUAUAUAUAUAUAUAUAUAUAUAUAUUGUGACCAUAUUUAGGUCUUGUUCAAUUGAAAGCAAAUGCAAAAUAAAAAAUAUUUUUUUCUUAAUUUUUUGAGAGAAUGGGAAUCAAUAAUUAAUAUACCGUGUUAUAUUACUACUAAAUGCCUUAUUUUCGAACUAGUUUAGAUAAUUAAUAAUCGAUUUGUGAAUAUUGACCUGUUCCUGAGUUGUGACUGGGUGCAAAUUAGGGUUCAAGUGCGCCUGUUGAGAAGUUUUCAAGGCUCGAAUCGGUAGCUAAAUUCCUAGUUAUGCACACACAGACAUGUCUAUUUCUCUUCAAAUUCACUUAGUACACAAGGCUAGCUCAUUGGCUUGUACAAGGCAACUAAUGCAUUGAAGAUUUUAAGGGACGUAGUUCCCAGGAAGAAGCUUUCAACCAAUGCUCGUGCAGGAUGCUUGAUGCUUUUUUUUUUUUUUUUGGUGAAGAGAAUAUAGAUAGAUAAAUAUGAUACCUCUUCAAGAAAUUAGUGAAGAGAUGUUUAAAUUGAAGGAGUCUUUUUUUUUUUUGUUUACUUUAAGUCAACGCUUUCAAAUUAGUGAAGAGAUGUUUGAAUAUUUAUGAAGAGAUACUGUAUCUCACGUCCAAUAUUAAUGCAGAAGAAUAUAUAUAUAUAUAUUCUAAAUUGUUUUCCUCUAUUGCUAAAUUGCUUCGUAUCUAGUUAAUUUAAUGUCUUGAAGUAAGAGAUUUCUAGGAAAGAGAGAUGUCAGAAGGGAAUCAUGUCACCAACCCAACCCAGUACAACGAGUUUGGUAAGAAAUAUGCACAUUAAAAAACUAAACAACUGUUUUAUUUAAUAUACAUUUUUUUAUAAAUAUCUCUAUAAAAAUCAUAAAUAUUUAUAAAAUAUUUAUAUUGAAUAUUUUUCUUUAAGAAAGCCUGUAUGAAGAAAAUUUCAUCAAUCUAGAUUUAAGGUAUGUAAAGGUCAAGAAACUAGAGUUCAUUUUAUAAAAGUGGGUCUAUAAGAGUUUCAAAGCUAUUUUUAAGUUAAAUUUGUUAUUUUUUUUAUCAACAUUAAGUCCACCGGGUUGAUAUUAGUAAAAGAAUAUUUUGGUGUUUGAAUUUUUUUUUGGGUAAUCAAAAUUAAGUUUUAGUUAUUAAAAUAAGUUUUUUCUAAUAUUAAUUUGAGUUUUUAUUUUUAAUCGUGUGUGUGUAUAUAAUAAAAUAAAAAUAAUAAUAAUACUGAAGUUUUUUUCAACGGAGCAGCUUCAGUUGAUAUGAUUAAUCGUAUAUUUCUUGGAAGAACAAGCUCAUGAUCUAUCAUUGAUUUAUUUAUUCAUAAUAAAUGAAAAGAAGAAAAAAGAGUGGUAAUUAUAAUAAUUAAAAGGAAGGAUUGUUAAUUAGUACGGUUGUUCUGCAGUGAUGCUUUCUCUUUUAUAAAAUUUAAUUUAAAAUUUUAUAAAUAUUUAAUAGCUAAAAAUAAGAUUUAAGAUGAAUAAUGAAAUAAAAUCAUAUGGAAAAAAAAAUUUAAAACAAACGGGUUAACAAAACAUAGUAGGGAUUUGUAUCUUACACAUUCAAUGUUGUUAGAAUGAUCUAAAUGAAAUGAUUCUAACUACACAUUAAAAAACUGCUAAACGAGAUCGUAAUUAAUCCUAAAUUAAUUUCAAACAAAACCUCUAAUAAAUUACGACUAUGGUUGGUGGUCUCUUAAGAUGUGGUUAUAAUCGUUUUGUCGAGAUCUUUUUAAUGAUAUUGGAUGUGUCAAAAAUAGAAUUUCAAUGAUCUAUUUUUUCUUAGAGAUUGGAUCUUGAAUUUUAUUUAUUAGUUAUUGGAUCUUCAAAAAAAUUUAGAUUGAUUUCUAUAGUAGUUAAUUAAUUUGACUGAGGAGUUAGCAUAGUAAUACGAACCUGAAACCUGCAAUUUUUUUUUCCUUACAAUUUAAGUCAACACUUUAAAGGUUAAAAGUAAUAAAGUCAAGUUUUAAAACUCGAUAUUAAAUCUACAUGUAAUAAAACUUAGGUCAUAAAUUGAGAAGGUUAAUCUCAACAUAAUUUUCUUUUAAAAAAUUAAUCAAAAUAUUAUUUUGCAACACCAGUUCAAUAAAAACAAAAAACAUAGAAAAAUCAACAGGUUCAUGUAUGUGUUUUGAUUGGACCAGGUUAGGUCAAUCAGGUUACCAGGUCAAUCCAAAUUUUUAAUCAAAUCAGCCACAUAUAUAUAUAUAUAUAUAUUCUAGAUUAGUUCAAGUCUCGGGUCAAUCGGAUGUACAUUUGUUGUACAUGUAGCCUGACUUAUUAAUUAAACUGUUUUUAAAAAAAAACUAAAUCUUUCUAUCCAUAUCCGUUAAAUGGUUUUAAUCACAACGAAAAUUCAAUGAUACUGUAUCUCACGUGCAAUAUUAAUGCAUAUGAAAUAUUGCUCUUUUUUUUUUCCUUGGUUACAGUACCCUUUCAGCCUUUGUUUUUUUUGUGCUGUUUCUUAGUUUUUGUGCAAUUAUUUUUUAGAUUAAUAUGGAUAUUCAAUAUGUAUUUUAAUUAAUUUUAUGGAUUUUAAAGUUAAUAAUUAUAUAAAUUUUCAGUAGUAUUGAGAAAACUCAUAAUUAUUAAAAAAUAAAUCUAAGACUGAUUAUCCUAAAAUUAAUUUUUGUGCAUUUUGUACAACAACUUGUAUCACACAUAUACUCCUGCAGGGACCAUCUAUGUUAUCUUGCAUUGUGCUUGGAUGCAAUCGAUUUUUCAUUCGUGCAUUUAACUGGAUGACUUCGUACUACUGCUAUAGUGAUAUUGUGUUUGAUUGUAAUAAAAUAUAAAAAUAUUUAUUUUAUUUUUAAUAUAUAUUAUUGUAAAACUUAAAUAUUUUAAAAAAUAAUUAAAUAAUAAUUCUUUUUACUUCAGUUUAUAUUAAAUAUUAAAAUUAAUAAUAUUAUAAUAAUCAUAGUUAUAAAAACCGGAUUGGCCUAGUGGGUUGAUUCGAAGCCUAGAUCGAUCAGUCUGAUUUAAAAAAAAAUAGAGGAAUGAUUGACUUUAUCUAACCCAAUCAAAAACCUGAGUCGACUUAUGACCUGGUUGACAUGAGAUAAAACACGAGUCAAAAACCUAUUUAUAUUUAUUUUGAAUUUAUUUUUUUCAAAACAAUGUUGCUUUCACUCUUUUUUUUUAAACAAAUUAGGUCAAAUCAGGUUGAUCCUCUCGACCUAUAACCCAAGUCUUGUUUUGGAUCGAUUUCUAAGUUAGAUUUUAAAACUAUAAUAAUACUUAUUUUUAUUUAUAUAUUAAGUCAGGUAAAUCUAGUUGGAUUUUUUUAACCCAUGAUAUAAGCCUAGUCAAAACCUAGUUGAAUUUUAAAAUUAUAAUAAUAAUUAAUUUUAUCAUUUUAUUGUAGUAGGUAUACCUCCAACAACACUUUUAAAUUCCAAUAAUCAUCUUCUCUUUUCUUUAUUAAAAGUUUAAUUAUUUUUUUUUUGUGAGAACCCAUAUUUGGUUAAAAGUUUAAUAAGACCAUAGCCCCUCGUACGGUUGGCUAAAUUCUUUCUAAAUUAGUAGUCUCUGUUCACGAGACUGAUUUAGUUCUUUUAAAUCUACAGCACUUGCUCGUCAGCAGGCUUUAUUCUUUUAAAUAAAUAGUCCACGCUCAUGCAACUAACUAACUUGAUACUUUUAAAUUAAUAGUCUUUGCUCUAACUUAAUUCUUUUAAAUCAAUAGCCCCCACUUGUAUAGUCGGCUUAACACUUUUUUAAUAGUCUUCAUUCAUGCAGCUGCUUAAUUCAUUUAAAUUAAUAGCCGACUAGCUUAAUUUUUUUUUUUAUGAUAUAUAAUAUGUUUUUAUGUUUUUUUUCAAGAUUCAUUUCUCGAAGAAAACAUUACCAAAAUUAAAAAAAAAAGUUGCUACGCAUCCAUCUGACAUUACACAAUAUAUUUGUGUGAGACAUUACUUUUUUAUUUUAUGAUAGCUUUAUGAUUAAAUAGUUAUCAGUUCGAAUCUUAUAACUUUUAUUUUAAUUAAUAAAAUUAAGUAUAAGAAAGUAUAUAUUUGUGUAAAUUUCAAGUUCAAAGAGCUUCAAAUUUAAAGUAUAUUAAAGAAUAAUAUAAAUUAUAUAUUCGAGUCUUACCUAGUAGCUUAAGUUUUUAAGUUGAGAUAAUCUUUUAAAUAUAUUAAAAAAUAGUAUAAAUUAGAAAUAUAAUAGCUUUAAAGGUGUAAACAAUGGAGGCUUCCAUCUCUUUGAGCCCACCUGUGUCCAUUUCUUUUUCUUUUUUAUAAGAUUUUUAUCUUCCAAUGCUCAUUUGCCUGAUUUUUUUUUAAUACAAAAACCAUGCUACGAAUUAAGAAAAAAAUAUUUCAUAAAAAAAAUCAAUUAAUAAGGAAAUGGAGUUUUCGAUAGAUGGAAAAAUUCGAACUUUUUUUUUAUAUAAGAUAUAGAGAUUGUCUCUAUUCCACUACAGUUUUAAGGAUAUAACUUUAAGGCUUAACAUCAAUACUCAAAAAAUGGUGAUGCUGACGAAAACAAUUCAAGAAAGAUCUUGAACAAAUAAUUUCCCAUAAAAAUCUUUCUGCAUGGAUAUCCCCUAAAACAUUUCAGCUUUUAACCUCAAGAGCUAUUCAAAACAAAUAUCGAAGGGCUUUGUGAAUCGUCACCUUUAAAAAAACUUGAGCGAUGAGCCUUUUCUCUUGGCCUCGUAGCUCAAUCAGCACAAUCCUUGUCUAAUUUGGAAAUCAGUUUCGUUUUGCUUUGCAGACUUUGUCAUUAAGAAGUUGAGAAUUAUAUGUUUUGUAUUAUAUAUUCAGAAGACGUGAAGCAGUAAUAUAUACAAGAGUAUGUGCUACUACAGAUCUGCUAUUCAAGGAAAGUAGAUCAUACAAUAAAAGCUGAUUACAUUUAUAUCCUAUAAUCUCGUUCAAUCAAUCAGAGAGAUUUGUUUUCCUUCUUCAUUCACUGUCUUGUAACAGAUUUCCUUUCCUUUAACACUCCUCCUCAAGUUGGAGCAUGUAUAUCAAUAGUGCCAAACUUGCUCAGAUGUGUAUGGAAAAUAGGUGCACGCAGUGGCUUAGUAAAUAAGUCUGAUACUUGCUCUCCUGUUCUGACAUAUGAGGUUUUGAUCUCUCCCCUUUGAAUUCUUUCACGAACAGUGUGGCAAUCGAUUUCAUUGUGUUUGGUACGUUCAUGAUACACGGGAUUUGCGGCUAUGUGCAGAGCGGCUUGAUUAUCACAGAAUAAUGCUGCUGGUUGGGGAUGUUCAACACAUAAAUCUCUUAAUAAAAAUCAUAGCCAGCUCAACUCACAAGUAGCUGCAGCCAUAGAUCGAUAUUCUGCCUCUGCGGAUAAUCGGGCAACUGUAAUCUGCUUCUUGCUUUUCCAUGACACCAAUGACUUUCCAAGAAAGAUACAAUAGCCAGUUACUGAGCGUCGUGUUGUGGGGCACCGCGCCCAAUCUGCAUCACAAUAACUAAUCAAAUGGAGCUCAUUGUGGGAAGGAGACAUCAAACCUUGUCCAGGAGCCCCUUUGAGAUAUCGAAGAAGUCGAUAUGCCUCAUCAAGAUGGUGUCGCUGUGGGUUUGCAUGAACUGACUUAAUGUGUUGACAGUGUAUGCGAUUUCUGGUCUUGUGAUGGUCAAGUAAAUUAAUUUUCCAACUAGGCGUCUAUAUCUUGCUGGCUCAUGUAGUGGACUGCUACCUGCAGGUGUUAAUACCAAAUCUGCCUCCAUUGGUAUCUUUGUAGGUUUAGCACCAAGUAAUCCAGCCUCCUCCAAUAUGUCCAGUGUAUAUUUUCAUUGACAAAUGGUGAUUCCAGCUUGUGACCGUGCGAUUUCAACUCCAAGAAAAUAUUUCAGGGGUCCGAGAUCUUUAAUUCGAAAUUAAUUGCUACUGAGAAAACCUUUCAAGUUCUUAAUUUCUGCUUCAUUAUUGCCUGUGAUCACCAUGUCAUCAACAUAUAACAGCACAAUAGUGAGUGAAGUCCCCUUAACUUGAGUGAAUAAAGAGUAGUCUGCCUUGGAUUGACAGAAACCGAUGGUCUGUAUUGCUAAAGAAAAUUCUCUAAACCAGCUUCUGGAUGCCUACUUAAGCCCAUAUAAAGAUUUGUGGAGUCGACAAACAAUGUUCUCCCCCUGUCGAUGACAACCUGGAGGAGGCAACAUGUAAACUUCCUCUUGGAGUUCGCCAUGAAGAAAAGCAUUUUGAACAUCCAUUUGGUGUAAAGACCAGUUGCGAACAGCAGCCACAGCUAAGAGGCAACGAACACUAAUGAGUUUGGCUACUGGGGCGAAGGUCUCUUUGUAGUCAAUGCCUUCGCGUUGGGUGAAACCUUUUGCAACAAGGCGAGCUUUGUUUUGCUAAAGGACAAAUAUCGCAAAUAUGUGUGGAAUCAAAUAUGAUUUCAACAUUAUUUUUUGCUAAUGAAAGUAAAGGUGCAGAUGACGGGUGCCCUAAACGUCGAUGCCAUAAAUUAUUGGUAUGGUGAAUGUGGUUGGCGAGAUGGGGGUUUUGUUCUGAUGUAAGGUAGUAGAGGCCAUCAAAAUGCUUGCCCAGGCCAAUCAUCCUCUUCGUGUCCAUAUCCUGCACAAUACAAAAAUCCGGAUAAAAUGUUACCAUACAAUGUAAAGCUCUUGUUAAUUUACUGACAGACAAUAAAUUGACACGAAAUGUUGGUACAUAGAGAACUUUAUCGAGAGAUAGCUCAUGUGAUAAUUUGAUAGAACCAAUGUUUCUUAUUUUUGUAUGUCCUCCAUUUGGUAAACCAACAGAUGCAUGCUGAGCAUUAAUAAUGUUAUGCGUUGGUGAUGAAUGUGAUAUAUAAUCAGUUGCUCCACUGUCAAUAAUCCAAUAGAGAGUUGAAUGUGAACCUGUUUAUGCUAUAUUGCAUUUUGGCGAGAUACCUGUUGCAUUUAAAGAUGGUUGUCCAUUACCAUUACGGAGCAUGGCUAUGAUCUGAUUAUACUCCUCGGUAGUGAAUGUAGGACCAUCUGGAACUGGAGUGUUGUGCUUGGAAUUUGUGACAGUGUGAACAACCCUUGUAGCAGAGUGGACAACCUCAAUAUUAUUGGCCAUUGAUCUCUUAUUUCUCGGCUUCACAUUCUUGCCAUGCCAUCUGUGUCCUUCUGGAAACCCAAUAAUAUAAUAGCAAUGGUCUACCAAGUGUCCAUCUCCAUCGCAGUAGUUGCAUUUGAGUGGUUUACGUGAAGAUGUGUUGGUGCUCUGUUUGUUAAAUGACUGGAAUGUUGGGUUUCGCCUUACCUGCAUUGCAUGAGAAUUCAUCCCUAUAUCUCGACGACUUGCAACAUCCAUUUGCCGUUCAUGUUGGAGAAUAAGACCAUGAACUCGUUGUGUGUCAGGGAGUGGAUUCAUCAUCAGGAUCGACCCUCGUAUUGUGGAGUAAGAUUCAUUCAAUCCCAUUAGGAAUUGCAUAACUCUUUUUUUCUCUUCCCGUUCAGUGAGUCCCUUUAAACCUGCACAAGUGCAAACAAGUGGAUCAUGGCAGGAUGCUAACUCAUCCCAUAAAGCUUUCAUCUUGGUAUAAUAAGAGGAAACCGAGAGUUGUCCUUGAUGAUUUUCAAUAAUUUCUUGUCGAAUCUGAUAGAUUCUUGAGUCGCUAUUUUGUGAAAACCUUUCUUUGAGAUCGUUCCAAAUUGCAGCAGCAGAUUCUGUGUACAUGAUGCUGUUGGAAAUGUCUGGGUGGACAGAAUUCACGAUCCACAGUGUUACCAUAUCAUUGCAUCUUUUUCAAGAUGCAUAGUUAUAGUUUUCAUUUAGGGGUGAUGGAGCUGUAAUGGUUCCAUCAAUGAACCCUGUUUUGUUCUUUGCGCUGAGACCCAUGCACAUGGCACGACUCCAUUGCCCAAAAUUGUUUCCAUCAAGCGGCUUGGAAGCAAGAAUAAUUCCAGUAUGAUCUGUAUGGUGUAUCGCAUACGGGUCUGAUAACUCCAUGGAAUGCUUGUCUGUCUUCAUGCUUGCUUCUGUCAUGGUGUUUGUGAGAGAUUUGUGAUUACUGUGAGGGGGCUGUGUAUUUGAGGCUGUGUUUGUUAUGGUGGCAGAAGCGUGAUAGGUUACCAAAGGCGAUGCUCUGAUACCAUAAGAAGUUGAGAAUUAUAUGUUUUGUAUUAUAUAUUCAGAAGACGUGAAGCAGUAAUAUAUACAAGAGUAUGUGCUACUACAGAUCUGCUAUUCAAGGAAAGUAGAUCAUACAAUAAAAGCUGAUUACAUUUAUAUCCUAUAAUCUCGUUCAAUCAAUCAGAGAGAUUUGUUUUCCUUCUUCAUUCACUGUCUUGUAACAGAUUUCCUUUCCUUUAACAGUCAUUGCCACGGAUUAAUGCUGCCUCUAAGUUCUGACGAGCUUUGUCGUAACGCAAAAAGUCCAUAAACAGGAAUGCAGAACUAUCUUCUGUGAUUAUGAUCACUUUCUUCUGUUGUGACUCGUUCAGGUCGAACCCUCUAAUGUUCCUUAUUGGUAUCUCAAUCUGCUCAUGUGUAUCCAAUUUCAACGAGUCAAGCCUCUUUUGUGUACAAGAACAACAACGCAAAUUAAUACAAUUCAAUUAACAGAAACACGAGGAAUCCCUUUGUUUUCUUUAUGCGUUGUUGUCAAGAUUGUAGCCAGUACUUUGAGUAAUUAUGAUCCUGCAGAAAUCAUUUUAUUUUUUUAUAAAAAAAGGGAAGAAAUUGAAGAGUGGUCACAAACCCUGUUUAUCCUCCAAUAUUUUAGUGUGCUAAUUAAUUCUUUUUAAAACCACAGCUUAGAGUUAAUUCACGUAAUUGAGACAAGGAAAAUAUAAUAAAGAGGAGGUAUUUAUUCACCUUUCGAUCUGUUUCUUCGAGCAGCUCAUCUGGAGAUUUGAAGGUAACUGAUCUCUGACUGCAGAAUGCAACCUUUUCAGUGGAAAUAAAGAGAAGUCCGGCAACAGGACCAGCUUCAGUUGAUAAACAGCAAUGCGAUGCCUUUAAUAGCCUUUCCCCGUCUCUGACCUCAAAUUUCUGCUUGAAAAUAUUCUUCUUCCCACCUUCUUUAAUUUUCUUUGCCUCAAAUUUUAUUGAGUCUGAGAGACCAACCGACCUCACUGCAAUCAACAUAUGAUCAAUCAUAUUUUUCUCUGAAGAAGAAGCUCAUGAUCAUUGAUUUAUUCACUCAUAAUGAAAGAAAAGAGUAGAAAAGAGAGCUACAUAUGAUAAUUAGAAGGAGCGAUUGUUAAUUACCACGGUCACGAAUUAUAUUUGCAAGGGUCCUGCUCCCCCCAGUUGUAUCCACUUCAUCACCUGCACCAGCACGUCAAGGAAUUAAAGCUGUCAACAUAGAACUAAUUUAGACUUAGAAAUACUAAUUUAUGAUCUGUGAAGAAGUUGGAGAAGAACCAUGAUGAUCAGUGGAAGAGGGUGUUGCUGAGAACUCAAAACAUGGACGUGAAAUGAACUUGUAAAGAUGCAUUUUGUCAAGCAGCACAAAACAUUUAAGUGCUCAGAUCAGAAGAAGCUGAGAGGUUCUGUCUAAACUUUUACUUUUCUUCGGUCUUGAUGCAAGAAAGUGCUCAGAUCAGAAGAAGCUGAGAGGUUCUGUCUAAACUUUUACUUUUCUUCGGUCUUGAUGCAAGAAAGUGCUCAGAUCAGAAGAAGCUGAGAGGUUCUGGCUAAACUUGUACUUUUCU